CAAAUUCAGAGUCCAAAGAAGGUGUUGCCAUCAAGAAGAUCGGGAAUGCCUUUGACAACAGGAUGAUACCAAGAGGACUCUCUGGGAAAUCAAGCUCCUCUGUCACAUGGACCAUGAUCAUGUGAUUAAGAUAAAGGAUAUAAUAAGGCCAGCGGAGAGGGAAAAGUUCAAUGAUGUGUACAUAGUUUAUGAGCUAAAGGACAUGAGAAUCUGCCAUUCAUUCUUCUUCUUUAAUGAAACUAACUGCAAACAUGACAAUGGAAGAAGACUCCUUAGCUGCACUUCCAUUUGACAGAGCUGUUGAACAAUAGGUAGUAAAUAUGAAUGAAGAAUUACAUGCCACGACACAAUGUUUUAUGUUGCUGGUAGUUUACUACUACUACUACUACUACUGCUGCUGCUGCUGCUGCUAUUAGGGCCUUUCUAUGCCAAUGUCCUCUUUUAAUGCCGAAGUUUCAAUCUUGGAACCGAACCCACGCUAAUGGAGCAUCAACACGCCAUUUCCAUUGCUUUUACCAGCUAGAGUUCUCUCACAUGGGGGAAGCUAUUAAAGAAGAAGAAGAAGAAGGUGUUGCUAUCUCCUUGGAGGAGUGGCGGGCCUAGGGCACAACCUCCCCCGUUCCAUCCAUGGUUUCUCAAAUUGUUAAUGAUUUGAAGCUUUUGGAGAAACACGUUGAUGCUCGCAUGAGCUUUGGUGUCAAUAGUGGAAAGUUGCAGAUUUUGGAUGCUAUGUGAUGAUUCAAGGGGAUUUUAGGGUAUAAGAAGAUAAGAAACAUCGAGCGACCUAUCAGGCAUUAGGUGAUUCUGAAAAGAAGUUCCAGUUUUAUUCAGCCAGACAAAUAGCCUGUCGCUUGCUUGGAAGCAAGGGUUACCUCUGUCAGAAGGUUUAAUUUAAAGUGGUUUGAGCAAGGUCUUGCCGAACGAUGGUGAUAUGCCUUGGGCAUCUGCUCUUAUGGAUUAUUGUUUAAUUUUGUAGUGCUGACUUCCUGUGGAAGAGGAUUGUAUGUGUUCAAGAAUCAAUUCCUGCUCCCUCUGGCCCGGAAUAAAAUUUUGAUUGUAUAUACAUCCCAAGGAUGUUGUGGUCUCUCGAAAUCGGCUGUCUACUUUACUUCUCUCUAAAGUGAGAGAAGAAUCUGGUUACAAUGAGGGGAAGAGUUUUAGUACAGGAUCUCAGAUUCAUGACAAGGGACAUAAGGAUGAGGUGUGUAUUUUUGUUGUUUUUAUUAUUCUAAAUGCAAUGGUUGUUCUAUGACAGUUCUUACAUGUUUAGCAGUAUUGAUUAUGGA